GUCCUUUCUGUGUGGAGUUUGCAUGUUCUCCACGUGUCCGCGUGGGUUUCCUCCGGGUGCUCCGGUUUCCUCCCACAGUCCAAAGACGUGCAAGUGAGUCUGUGUGACGCAUUCUCCUACGUGCGAGUGUGCAUGAAAGAGAGGGCAGAUGAGAGGGCAAGCUUUAACACUUUUUAAUGAAUCACAAGAAUCUAGAGAGAGAGAGAGAGAGAGAGAGAGAG